ensembl:lncRNA
GCAGAAUAUCUCUUCUUAAUAUUCUGAAGAGCUAAAUUAUCUUUUAAAGGUGCAUUCAGUGACCGACCUGGUCACUAAGUCAGAGUUUCUAAAAAUGAAGCCACUGUGAAUGGGACACUGAGCAUAGACGGCAGAGCAAGAAAAAAAGCUUCAUUGGGAGUGUGCGAGAGAGAAGACUGAUAAGGUCAUCUGAAGAGAAAGAACCAUUGUAAAUAAACAGGAGCUGACUGUGCUGUUUGACCAGGUCUACUAAAAGAAAUAACCCUUCAUCACUUGGACUCUCAUAUGGUAUCAUCAGUUGUCUCACAGCAUACACUAUAUAAGAAAAUGGAGGGACUGAUAGUACUUCAGGUGUGCUGCUACAGUAUACAGGUAGACUUGCCGGAGUGAAUCAGUUUGAAGCUAAUCAUUUUUGCUUAGGUCUCUUUCAGCCAAUAACUGCUGUUACUUUGUUGGAAUUCAGGCUGGGGUAGAAUUAAUAAGACAUUUAGAGCCUCCACCCUGAAUUACAUGCAUGAAGUCUUUUUGUGAGUUUACCCAUUGAAGCCUGUGGAAAAUUGUCAUCAAGCAGCAUUACACACUGCCACUUUUUUUUACCACAUUUUUUUUUACCAAAGAAAAUCAGGCAUCAUUUAUAUCCCCUUUGCUAUAUUACAUUUCUCACAGGCAAACAAUGUAAGUUGCGUGAAUGCUGCAGUCACAGUAUUUACCCUCUCCAACAGUCUGACAUGAUUAAACAACAGCUGACAAAAUGUUUGCACACACAAUAAAAGAGAAGAUGAGAGAAAGCCAGUGAUCUAAUAAAGCUGUUGUACGCCCUUGUUUGAUUCCAUUAAAAGACUGCUUCUUUUUUUUUUUUUUUUUUUGAUGAUCCUAUCAGUUCUGUGACGUGACAUCCAGUCUAAUGCAGAUAAAAUUAAUUAACUUCUUUGUGGAAGCCACCUGUUGUUUGUAUCUUCUGUUUUCUUUUAAAUCUAGUUGUGUGCAAAGCUCAAGGACGGCAUGAACAUCUUGGUAAUAAGUUACAUAUUAACUUAAAUACAUGUGUGUUUCUGCUGAGACUCAAACGUAAUGAUGAUGAACAUGAACCAAAUAAGAGAACUUCCUAUUUUCGAGCGUUUGUAUCGCUUAUUCCACGAAAGCAUUGUUGAGCAACAAUUAUUUUAGCAGCACAUUUGAAUUCUGUGCAAACCUCAGAAGAAUUUAAGCAGAGUGAUUUUGUUUCACAUAUUAGGUCGUUUAAAAACAUUUUAAUGGUGUCGAGUAUUACAAUGCCAAAUUUGCACAAAUUAAAAUAAAAAUAUGCUUGCAGAAACAACUCCAAAAAUCUCCUGUUAAAACAGCUGAUAAUGUUGUAUUUGACUAUGUCCAACUUUAGCCCAUCACGAAUGGACGCAACGCAUACACGUUAAUUCCGCACAGCUUUCCGUUUCUUUUCAAUGACGUCAGAGAUUGAUCUUAUCAUUCCAUGAAAUUUCAGUGAAAG